CUGCUCAAUGAUUUUUUAAAUUGCUGUGGUAUUUUGACUAUACAAAGGUAUUGAAAUAAGAUUUUAAUUGAAUGCUAAGAGAACGGAAGUCCAGAAAAAAACUUUUUUUAAAUUAAAAAUUGAAGUUUUUUUAAUUUGUGCAGAAACAAUUAUUUAUAUUAAAGACAAGAAGACCCUAUGAAUUUAUUAAAUUUUUAUUUAAUAUGUAAUUACUAUUAAAAAAUUUUGGCUGGGGCGGCUAGAAAAUAUUAUAAACUUUUUAAAAAUAAAAUGAUCCAUUAUUAAUGAUUUUAUGUUAAAUACUCUAGGGAUAACAGCGUUAUAUUUUUUGAUAGAUCAUAUU
rnacentral:rRNA from 1 species